rfam:Candidatus Rokubacteria bacterium 13_1_40CM_4_67_11 13_1_40cm_4_scaffold_2653, whole genome shotgun sequence.
AGCGACAAAGGUUAACCCGGCUAAAGCCGGGGGCGCAAAGCCACGGGUCCUCGCUCUCCUCCGCGACGCUCUCUCAAUACGCCACGAAGGACCCCACGACCGCCGAGCUACCGUAC